GAACGCUGGCGGCGUGCCUAAUACAUGCAAGUCGAGCGAACAGAUGAGAAGCUUGCUUCUCUGAUGUUAGCGGCGGACGGGUGAGUAACACGUGGGUAACCUACCUAUAAGACUGGGAUAACUCCGGGAAACCGGGGCUAAUACCUGAUAAUAUUUUGAACCGCAUGGUUCAAUAGUGAAAGACGGCUUCGGCUGUCACUUAUAGAUGGACCCGCGCCGUAUUAGCUAGUUGGUAAGGUAAUGGCUUACCAAGGCGACGAUACGUAGCCGACCUGAGAGGGUGAUCGGCCACACUGGAACUGAGACACGGUCCAGACUCCUACGGGAGGCAGCAGUAGGGAAUCUUCCGCAAUGGGCGAAAGCCUGACGGAGCAACGCCGCGUGAGUGAUGAAGGUCUUAGGAUCGUAAAACUCUGUUGUUAGGGAAGAACAAAUUUGUUAGUAACUGAACAAGUCUUGACGGUACCUAACCAGAAAGCCACGGCUAACUACGUGCCAGCAGCCGCGGUAAUACGUAGGUGGCAAGCGUUAUCCGGAAUUAUUGGGCGUAAAGCGCGCGUAGGCGGUUUCUUAAGUCUGAUGUGAAAGUCCACGGCUCAACCGUGGAAGGUCAUUGGAAACUGGGGAACUUGAGUGCAGAAGAGGAGAGUGGAAUUCCAUGUGUAGCGGUGAAAUGCGCAGAGAUAUGGAGGAACACCAGUGGCGAA
rnacentral:rRNA from 1 species